GUGAACGCUGGCGGUAGGCCUAACACAUGCAAGUCGAACGGCAGCACAGUAAGAGCUUGCUCUUACGGGUGGCGAGUGGCGGACGGGUGAGGAAUACAUCGGAAUCUACUUUUUCGUGGGGGAUAACGUAGGGAAACUUACGCUAAUACCGCAUACGACCUACGGGUGAAAGCAGGGGAUCUUCGGACCUUGCGCGAUUGAAUGAGCCGAUGUCGGAUUAGCUAGUUGGCGGGGUAAAGGCCCACCAAGGCGACGAUCCGUAGCUGGUCUGAGAGGAUGAUCAGCCACACUGGAACUGAGACACGGUCCAGACUCCUACGGGAGGCAGCAGUGGGGAAUAUUGGACAAUGGGCGCAAGCCUGAUCCAGCCAUACCGCGUGGGUGAAGAAGGCCUUCGGGUUGUAAAGCCCUUUUGUUGGGAAAGAAAAGCAGCAGGUUAAUACCGCGCUGUUCUGACGGUACCCAAAGAAUAAGCACCGGCUAACUUCGU
rnacentral:rRNA from 1 species